GGGGAAUAUUGGACAAUGGGCGCAAGCCUGAUCCAGCAAUGCCGCGUGAGUGAUGAAGGCCUUAGGGUUGUAAAGCUCUUUCGCACGCGACGAUGAUGACGGUAGCGUGAGAAGAAGCCCCGGCCAACUACGUGCCAGCAGCCGCGGUAAGACGUAGGGCGCAAGCGUUGUCCGGAUUUAUUGGGCGUAAAGAGCUCGUAGGCGGCUUGUCGCGUCGACUGUGAAACUCCACGGCUCAACCGUGGGACUGCAGUCGAUACGGGCAGGCUAGAGUUCGGUAGGGGAGACUGGAAUUCCUGGUGUAGCGGUGAAAUUCGUAGAUAUUAGGAAGAACACCGGUGGCGAAGGCGGCUCACUGGUCCGGUACUGACGCUGAGGUGCGAAAGCGUGGGGAGCAAACA
rnacentral:rRNA from 1 species